rnacentral:rRNA from 1 species
CCUACGGGGCGCAGCAGUGGGGAAUAUUGGACAAUGGGCGAAAGCCUGAUCCAGCCAUGCCGCGUGUGUGAAGAAGGCCUUCGGGUUGUAAAGCACUUUCAGUGGGGAAGAAAGCCUUGGGGCUAAUACCCUCGAGGAAGGACAUCACCCACAGAAGAAGCACCGGCUAACUCCGUGCCAGCAGCCGUGGUAAUACGGAGGGUGCGAGCGUUAAUCGGAAUUACUGGGCGUAAAGCGCGCGUAGGCGGUCUGAUAAGCCGGUUGUGAAAGCCCCGGGCUCAACCUGGGAACGGCAUCCGGAACUGUCAGGCUAGAGUGCAGGAGAGGAAGGUAGAAUUCCCGGUGUAGCGGUGAAAUGCGUAGAGAUCGGGAGGAAUACCAGUGGCGAAGGCGGCCUUCUGGACUGACACUGACGCUGAGGUGCGAAAGCGUGGGUAGCAAACAGGAUUAGAUACCGAGUAGUC